rnacentral:sRNA from 1 species
GUGCGAUACGCACGCGUUGUGCUCGAGUUUUCAGCAAACGAAAAAGAAUUUAAAGCAAACAGAAGUGCGGCAUUUUGGUGAAAGCAAAGAAAAAAGCGUAUUCAAACGUGCUCUGUGCGUAAAUUGAACAAAAGUAAAUGAAGCGGAACUAAGAGGGAAUGAGAAGUGAAGUAAUUGAAAUUAAAGAUUGCUCUUAAUUGAUAGCCAUCAAGUCUAAUCGCUGGCCCACAGUCAUUUAACUAACGCUCUCAUAAUUCCAGACCCAGUUUUGAUGUUUUUUUUUUUUGUAGAGCUCUUUCACAAACCGUGAUUGAUAACGCAAAGUGCAACAAUAAAAGCAUUAGCCACUGGAAUAGAUGUCAUGUUGUCCUGGAAGCAACAGCAGCAACAACAACAAUGUAGACAAAGCCACCGUUGCGACGCUUUUGGCACACAAAUCUCAAUUUAAAACAAUCAAAUGGAAUGA